rnacentral:lncRNA from 14 species
UGUGUAUAUUAAAAAUGGGUGAGCCAUGCUCCUCCAACAUAAUUAACCUCUGAAAUUCACCUGGUUUCCAUUUAGCUCAGCUGUGCCAUCCUAUCGCAUAUGCAAUUUUUGGUGCUCAUAAACCCCAGAGACGCAGAGAGACAUCCCCAACCCUGGUAUUAGUCUAAGGGACAUGAGUUUUCUCUGAAGCGAGGGUGCAAUAAGGUGGAUUUCAGCAGAGGCUCUUCACAAUGGGCCGCAUAUAGGCUUCAGUUAAAAGGCUGCACUAAAGUCUCUCCUACCAUCUUUCAUUACUGUUGUUACUCAUGCCAGUGAGAGUAAAGGAAAGGUUGGUAUGUCUAUAAUCACACAUUCAUUUGCUAUGUAGAUAUAUCCUAAGAGCCUCUCCGCACAGGAAAAUUAUUCAGGAAUAAGGUUGGAUGUGAAUGUAAAGCAGAAUGUGCUCAGAUAGCUUGUUCAUUCUGGAAUGACCGAGCUCUUUCCUGGUUUCACUUAAUCCACUUUCAAAAUGGAUUAAGAUAAUUCAAGAAAGGAAAUUCUUCUGCUGGUACAAUAUUUGUCUACAUGUGGGUUUAGUCAUUACUGCAGUGUACCUAAUAGGUGUUUUGGAAUGAUACAGUGCAUAGACAAGCUCAGAGUCCCACAGGUGAAAAAAACAGAAUUUAGUCUUUCUGUAUAACAUGAGGUUAAUUUAGCCCAGACUUUUACCUGCUUCUUUCCUUGUGAAGGAUAUUCAAUUCAUUACAUGUUUUUAGCAAAAAAAUCCUACAACAGCUCUGUAUUUAUGCUCAAUUCCAGGAUAGCAAUGCCAUGUGCCCUCUACUAAAAUAAACCAUCAGUACCUUCUCAACUGCCUUGAAGUUGACAAUAGAUUCAUUGCUGGAGAAAACACCAGCUUCUCAAUGCUCAAUUUGUGAUUACAAGCAUAGCUUUGCUGUCCUGUGUUGGUCUUGGCUGAGGAUAUAGAGAGUGGAUUUCACAUAUGCCUCCCUCGCACCAAACCUGCUUAUUUAAUGAGAAGCUUCCUGGUAAGAAAGGGAAUUUCUCAUCCAGCGAGGAAAGUGUCUU